CGGGGUUGCGGACAGUGUCUGGUGGGUAGUUUGACUGGGGCGGUCUCCUCCUAAAGAGUAACGGAGGAGCACGAAGGUUGGCUAAUCCUGGUCGGACAUCAGGAGGUUAGUGCAAUGGCAUAAGCCAGCUUGACUGCGAGCGUGACGGCGCGAGCAGGUGCGAAAGCAGGUCAUAGUGAUCCGGUGGUUCUGAAUGGAAGGGCCAUCGCUCAACGGAUAAAAGGUACUCCGGGGAUAACAGGCUGAUACCGCCCAAGAGUUCAUAUCGACGGCGGUGUUUGGCACCUCGAUGUCGGCUCAUCACAUCCUGGGGCUGAAGUAGGUCCCAAGGGUAUGGCUGUUCGCCAUUUAAAGUGGUACGCGAGCUGGGUUUAGAACGUCGUGAGACAGUUCGGUCCCUAUCUGCCGUGGGCGCUGGAGAACUGAGGGGGGCUGCUCCUAGUACGAGAGGACCGGAGUGGACGCAUCACUGGUGUUCGGGUUGUCAUGCCAAUGGCACUGCCCGGUAGCUAAAUGCGGAAGAGAUAAGUGCUGAAAGCAUCUAAGCACGAAACUUGCCCCGAGAUGAGUUCUCCCUGACUCCUUGAGAGUCCUGAAGGAACGUUGAAGACGACGACGUUGAUAGGCCGGGUGUGUAAGCGCAGCGAUGCGUUGAGCUAACCGGUACUAAUGAACCGUGAGGCUUAACCUUACAACGCCGAAG
rnacentral:rRNA from 1 species